rnacentral:rRNA from 1 species
UACGUAGGGUGCAGGCGUUAAUCGGAAUUACUGGGCGUAAAGCGUGCGUAGGCGGUUUGUUAAGACAGGUGUGAAAUCCCCGGGCUUAACCUGGGAACUGCGCUUGUUACUGGCAGACUGGAGUGUGGCAGAGGGGGGUGGAAUUCCAGGUGUAGCAGUGAAAUGUGCAGAUAUCAGGAGGAACACCGGUGGCGAAGGCGGGUCUCUGGGCCGAUGACUGACGCUGGAGGAGCGAAAGCGUGGGGAGCGAACAGG